AACGAACGCUGGCGGCAUGCCUAACACAUGCAAGUCGAACGAGACCUUCGGGUCUAGUGGCGCACGGGUGCGUAACGCGUGGGAACCUGCCCUUAGGUUCGGAAUAACUCCCCGAAAGGGGUGCUAAUACCGGAUAAUGUCUUCGGACCAAAGAUUUAUCGCCUUUGGAUGGGCCCGCGUUGGAUUAGCUAGUUGGUAGGGUAAAAGCCUACCAAGGCGACGAUCCAUAGCUGGUCUGAGAGGAUGAUCAGCCACACUGGGACUGAGACACGGCCCAGACUCCUACGGGAGGCAGCAGUGGGGAAUAUUGGACAAUGGGCGAAAGCCUGAUCCAGCAAUGCCGGGUGAGUGAUGAAGGCCUUAGGGUUGUAAAGCUCUUUUAACCGGGAUGAUAAUGACAGUACCGGGAGAAUAAGCCCCGGCUAACUCCGUG
rnacentral:rRNA from 1 species